UGACAUUGAUUUGAAAAAGACAUUUGAGAAGAAUGUAGAAUGUGCCUGGGUUUGCAGUUUGCUUCUGGAAUUCACUAACAAUGUGAUUUAAGGCAAAUUUCUCUCACUGGAGUGCAGUGAGGGUCUCACUAUGUUGCCUGGGCUAAUCUCAAACUCCCGGCCUCAAGCUAUCCUCCUGCCUUGGCUUCCCCAAAUGCUGGGAUUACAGGCAUAAGCCAUCACACCCAGUCUAAGGGUCACUCUGGCAACUCUGUGGAGAAUAGACCUAGAGAGAGAUGGUGGAAACAUGAAGACCAGCAAGGAAAGAACUACAAUAAUUCAGAUGUUCUGCCACACAGAUUUGGCUGUGUCUACAGUUGCCACUCGGAAGAAGUUGAAUGACUUUUUAACUUGGACCAGACUCAGUGAUUCAAAACAGUUUCUUGGCCACAUCCUUUCCAAUUGAAGCUGAAAAUGGGCAGAUGUGGAAACAACCUUGGACAAAGAGGUAGUGUAUUGAGGACCCACACAGGAAUUGGCUUCUUAAGGACUCUGGGCUCACACCUCAACCUGACAAUCUGGGGAUCAACUAAGCACAGCUUCCAUCUAUUUCCUUUCAUCACUGUCAUCAUUCUGCCACUUCCUUUUUCCCAAAGAAAAAAAAGGGUAUAAAAUUUUAUGAAAAUAUAAAUGACAGUUUAAAAUUAUUUAAACAUCAGUGGAGAGUUUUGAAAAAUUUUUAGUGUUUUUUUUUUCUUUGAGAUGAAGUCUUGCUCUUGCCCCCCAGGCUAGAGUGCAAUGGCAUGAUCUUGGAUCACUGCAACCUCUGCUUCCCGUGUUCAAGUGAUUCUCCUGCCUCAGCCUCCCAAGUAGCUGGGAUUACAGGUGCCCGCCACUAUGCCCGGCUAAUUUUUGUAUUUUUAGUAGAGAUGGAGUUUCACCAUGUUGGCCAGGCUGGUCUCGAACUCCUUACCUCAGGUGAUCUGCCUGCCUUGGCCUCCCGAAGUGAUGGAAUUAUAGGCGGGAGCCACCGCGCCUGGCCUUUAGUGGUCUUACAUUAAACAUUUUCCCCACCACUUAAAAAAAAAAGACAUGAGAAAUCCAAGUUUCUCUUUACCCUAAUGAAAACAUUUUGUGGAAAAUCAGUAAAAUUUUUCUAUAUUUUAGAAAGUUAAGAGAUGGCAUUCUCUCUCUUUUAGAGACUUAAAAUUUCCGUUUAAAGAAGACUGUGAUAAUUUCUACUUGUUUCUUUGUGAUUGCCAAAUAAACUCCUUGUAAAAAAG